rnacentral:rRNA from 1 species
AUUGAACGCUGGCGGCAGGCUUAACACAUGCAAGUCGAGCGGGGUGAUGGUGCUUGCACUAUCACUUAGCGGCGGACGGGUGAGUAAUGCUUAGGAAUCUGCCUAUUAGUGGGGGACAACAUCUCGAAAGGGAUGCUAAUACCGCAUACGUCCUACGGGAGAAAGCAGGGGAUCACUUGUGACCUUGCGCUAAUAGAUGAGCCUAAGUCGGAUUAGCUAGUUGGUGGGGUAAAGGCCUACCAAGGCGACGAUCUGUAGCGGGUCUGAGAGGAUGAUCCGCCACACUGGGACUGAGACACGGCCCAGACUCCUACGGGAGGCAGCAGUGGGGAAUAUUGGACAAUGGGCGGAAGCCUGAUCCAGCCAUGCCGCGUGUGUGAAGAAGGCCUUUUGGUUGUAAAGCACUUUAAGCGAGGAGGAGGCUCUUAAGGUUAAUACCCUUGAUGAGUGGACGUUACUCGCAGAAUAAGCACCGGCUAACUCUGUGCCAGCCGCCGCCGUAA